rnacentral:lncRNA from 1 species
GGAGAGCACGGAGAUUUCUGGGGCUUUGGAGGGAAUCGUGAGCGGGCGGGAGGAGGCCGGGGACCACACAGAGAAUAACUUGUCUGACUACCAGUAUUCUUGGAUGCAGAAGUGCUGAAGAUGAGCACACACACGUACGGAGAAUUUCUGGAGAAUUCAGCUGCUCAGAACAAGAACUGAGAUCCAGAGAGAUGAUGACUUUGCCCAUAGACCAAACAAAGAAAUACAUGUUUCAGUCCUGUGUCCUCCUGCUAUGUGUGUCCGGAAUUGGUGGGUUCUUGGUCUCACUGACUUCAAGAAUGAAGCUGCGGACCCUCGCGGACCGUGUGUGAAUGCCUGCUCUGUGAGCCCUCAGAAUCUACUGGCUGAAUGAGUGCGUGGAGGAAAUGUGCUCAGAGCUGCUGUGUGUCAUCCUGUGUUUGAAGUGCUCCUGCAGCUAUCAUUCAUCCAGUUAAGAAUUUGAAGAAGUGUGUGCACAAAGGAUAUCGGCCAUGUUAAUGAGUCUGAUGUUGCUAGUAUCACAGGCACCGGAAAAUAUGCACAUUAUGCUGGAGCAUUAGAAUGCAACAGAAAGAGCCCUGGGCUUGGAGUAUGCAGAACUGGUUCUUGUUACAACUCCUCUUACUAGUGGGCUCUGGAAGAAAACACAUUGAAUUCAUGAUCAUGGUUAACCUUUGGAGAGAGAGAGGAGACCAGGAUGAAGGAGCCAGUCGAAGAUCCUGUUCAAGUGUACACUGAGCCAGCAGGUUCACCAGAAAGCUAUUGAGCGUUUGCUGGAACACAUUAUGCAGGGUGAAUUUCUUCUGGAAUGUUGCCAAGGAUUUUUUAUGCUUCUGUGGCAGGCAUUUCUUGAACAUUGUCAUUUAGCCAAGCAAAGAAGAUUUUCUUAAAGGAUAGAAAAUGUUUAAAAAUUUUUGUUUGUUUGAAGAUAGGUUAAAUGGCUAUAUGAUCUCAGGAUAAGACAGAGAAAAUCACUUAUUUCUCUAAGUGAUCUGAUUAGGUUAGUGAUGUUUUGCCUUUAAACAGAUUCAUCAUUAUUCCUAAAGUAUUGCUGUAUUAAUACUGUCUUCUAGAAAGUAUCCACCAGUGCCUACUUUUCUUCGAUAUCAUUAGCUGUUUUUCGAAACUGAAUUUGCUCUUCAGAGAUUUCUCAUAUGUUUGCGUAUAAGGAACUACUGGUAAUAGCCAAGAAAAUUUGGAGGUGCAGAGAACAUGCUGAAACAGAAUUUUUCACUUUCAAUUCUAGAACUAUGCCAUAAAAAAAAA